AUUGAACGCUGGCGGCAGGCCUAACACAUGCAAGUCGAGCGAGCGGCGGGCGGGUGAGUAAUGCCUAGGAAUCUGCCUGUUAGGGGGGGAUAACGUCCGGGAACGGGAGCUCAUACCGCAUACGAUCGGAUGAGCCUAGGUCGGAUUAGCUAGUUGGUGGGGUAAUGGCCUACCCAGGCGACGAUCCGUAGCUGGUCUGAGAGGAUGAGCAGCCACACUGGAACUGAGACACGGCCCAGACUCCUACGGGAGGCAGCAGUGGGGAAUAUUGCACAAUGGGCGCAAGCCUGAUGCAGCCAUGCCGCGUGUAUGAAGAAGGCCUUCGGGUUGUAAAGUACUUUCAGCGGGGAGGCGUUACCCGCAGAAGAAGCACCGGCUAACUCCGUGCCAGCAGCCGCGGUAAUUC
rnacentral:rRNA from 1 species